ACGAACGCUGGCGGCGUGCUUCACACAUGCAAGUCGAACGGAAAGGCCUGCUUUCCCUUGUGGAUUGCGGGUACUCGAGUGGCGAACGGGUGAGUAACACGUGAGUGAUCUGCCCCCAACUUGGGUAUAAGCCUGGGAAACUGGGUCUAAUUCCCGAUAGGACUGCAGGGUGGUGCCUGUGGUGGAAAACGAUUUUCUAGUGGUUGGGGAUGAGCUCGCGGCCUAUCAGCUUGUUGGUGGGGUAAUGGCCUACCAAGGCGGCGACGGGUAGCCGGCCUGAGGGGGUGGACGGCCACAUUGGGACUGAGAUACGGCCCAGACUCCUACGGGAGGCAGCAGUGGGGAAUAUUGCACAAUGGGCGGAAGCCUGAUGCAGCGACGCCGCGUGGGGGAUGACGGCCUUCGGGUUGUAAACUCCUUUCGACCGCGAGGAAGCCACCUGGUUGGAAGGGUGGUGACGGUAGUGGUAGAAGAAGCACCGGCUAACUACGUG
rnacentral:rRNA from 1 species